UACGUAGGGGGCAAGCGUUGUCCGGAUUUAUUGGGCGUAAAGCGCGUGUAGGCGGCCAGUUAGGUCUGUUGUGAAAACUCGAGGCUCAACCUCGAGACGCCGAUGGAAACCAUUUGGCUAGAGUCCGGAAGAGGAGAGUGGAAUUCCUGGUGUAGCGGUGAAAUGCGCAGAUAUCAGGAAGAACACCCGUGGCUAAGGCGGCUCUCUAGUACGGUACUGACGCUGAGACGCGAAAGCGUGGGGAGCGAACAGG
rnacentral:rRNA from 1 species